AUUGAACGCUGGCGGCAUGCCUUACACAUGCAAGUCGAACGGCAGCACGGGAGCAAUCCUGGUGGCGAGUGGCGAACGGGUGAGUAACGUAUCGGAACGUACCAUUGAGUGGGGGAUAACGUAGCGAAAGUUACGCUAAUACCGCAUAUUCUCUCCGGAGGAAAGCAGGGGACCGCAAGGCCUUGCGCUCUUUGAGCGGCCGAUAUCAGAUUAGCUAGUUGGUGAGGUAAAGGCUCACCAAGGCUACGAUCUGUAGCGGGUCUGAGAGGAUGAUCCGCCACACUGGAACUGAGACACGGUCCAGACUCCUACGGGAGGCAGCAGUGGGGAAUUUUGGACAAUGGGGGCAACCCUGAUCCAGCCAUGCCGCGUGAGUGAAGAAGGCCUUCGGGUUGUAAAGCUCUUUCGGGUGAGAAGAAAGCGGAUGGGCUAAUACCCUGUUCGGAUGACGGUAUCACCAUAAGAAGCACCGGCUAACUACGUGCCAGCAGCCGCCGUAAGAC
rnacentral:rRNA from 1 species